GAUUGUAAGUUUCCUGAGGCCUCCCUAGAAGCUGAGCAGAUGCCAGCACCACGCUUUCUAUACAGCCUAAGGAACUAUGAGCCAAUGAAACCUCUUUUCUUCAUAAAUUACCCGGUCUCAGAUAUGGAGUUACCAGUAAGGAGCUCCACCGUGACUCUCCUCCCUGCUCUAUUGCCCCGACGAGGAAGUGUGAAAAUGUGUCUGGCUCCAUCCAAGAGUUACUUCGCUGAAGAAGAGAGGGCUUUGUUGAAGUCUUCCCAUGCUUUCUGCACAGGGCUCUGGCCUUGGAGAAAGGAUUUCCAGUUACUGCAGUGUCACUUGGCCCUGGGUCUCCUCCUGGGAGAGAGAAGUGUACGGCUCCCAAGGUUCCUGGCAGUUUUGAAAGAGCUCUCAGCCACAGCCAGCUUUACUUUGGCAAGUGAGGCCAUCCCCUUUCUUUCCUCCUUUCCUUUCCCAUGGAACCUACUCCUUCCAUCUGUCUUUCAAGCUCUGCCUCAGAAAUGGCAAUUCAAGCCUGAUUUUCUCCUUGAAUGCACUCUCUCUGUGAAAGAGGCUUUUCACCAAGAAUGUGGUGCUGGUGUUUCUCUUGCCAAUGGGCUAAACAAAGACCUCCGCACCGGGUAACAUUUGGGCAGGCCUCUUCACACAUGCCUGUCCUUCUCCGUCGCACUUGGCUAAAGCCAACAACCUAUGUGUGAAAAGUAUAAAGAGAUGGAAAAAUUCCCAUGAAAAAUCCUUCCGCAAAGCAAUUGCGAGACAACUAUGGCGUCAUCUGAUAACAUGAUUUCUAUUUUGCAUCUGUUCCAUUGUUGGAGGUCACUCAUAGUUGCAAGCCUUGCGUGUACAUACGCAAAAAUUAUAAGUGAAUGCAUCUGCUCAGGUUAUUAGCCACUGAUUGUGAAAUAAUCUGAAGUUUGAGAGUCUCAGUUAAUAACCUAUGGGUGCUGAGAGCAUUCAAAGACCCAAUAGCAUAAGUAUUAAUCACCUCUUUUCUCCAGAGUAGCAAAUAAGAAACCAGGAAGAGCUCAGUUUCACUUCCAACUUGUUCUUUAAGGGCCUUAGAGUUGAUAGUUGUCCUUAUCUGGGCUCCCUAAUGCCAUGACAAAUCAACGAGAAGAGAAAUAUGCCCCAAAUCAGCACCCAGACACGCUGGUGCCAGCCUGUGUCCACGCUCCUGCAACAGCUGCUGCUCAUGGGGUAAGACUGAGCCAGGUCUAAGAUUAGCAGCGUCCCAGCUCCUCAGGUUCCUGUACAUUGACUCACAACGGAAUCAAAACUCGAGAGCUCAACUCUCUGGUUUCUUCUGCUUUCUUUUCUGCAAUUUUCUUUUCUUUUUUUUUUUUUUAAACUUUAUUUUAUUGGCAACCGUGAAAGAGAUAUUUACAACAAGACUCAGAGCAAGGUCAGAGACCCCUAAACAGAUGGUUUUCCCUUAACUUAUCAGGCUGGAGCAGAGUUUAAACCAAGCUGGAGGAAUCCCUCCAGCUCUGGGCACAAUGUAAUCUCUAUAUCCUGGCCUUCAUCGCAUUGGCUGGAAGCUGGUUGGCUUCAUCCAAGGGCCUACUUCGAGGGGAUUCAUGCUUCUGCAAGUUUGAGCAUCCCUCACUCCUGGCGCUGGCGGUGCCACUCGGCCAUGGACUGGAGCAUCCACUUGGUCUGGAGCUUGUACAAAUAGCAGCCAUAAACCACGACUUCGGUGAGGUCUGAAGACUCCAGAGCCUUCAGCUCGAGCAUGGCCUUGCUCACCAGCUCAGUGUAAGGGAUUCCUCCCUCCCCAACCUCCAGAGAGUUAGAGACAGCUCUACCACCCGGCGUUGAAGAAAGCUGACCACUGGUGUGCUUCCAGAAUGCGAGAAGCUCUUGAAGCCCAACAUUCCCUUUCAGUGAUGUUACUGACAUUUUCCCAAAGCUGUGUUCUUCAGAGUUGCACAUGGCAUUGUUAACAACUAUUUUUUAAAAACAUUUUUUAGAGACGGGAUUUUGCCAUGUUGGCAGGUUGGUCUCAAACUUUUGGGCUCAAGCGAUCCACCCUCCUCAGCUUCCCAAAGUGCUGGGAUUAACAGGCCUGAGCCCAGCACAACAACUAUUGAAACCCUUGUCAGGCCCCUGUUGGACCCCUGGAGCCUGGUUAACGGGAACAACCACGGUGGGCAUUAACCUCUUCCUGGGUAACUUCAGUACGCCAGCACGGUUGAGAACUAUUGUUCAAUGCAAACUUAACAUAUGAAGCCCCUCUCAUGUGUCAGGCAUGGUGUCAGAUGCUGGACUGCAAGAAGGUGGCCUUCUGCAAAUGGGGACGAGUCCUCACCAGGUGUGGGAUCUGCCAGCACCUUGAUCUUGGGCUUCCCAGCCUCAGAACUGUAAGAAAGUUUCGCUCUUUCGCCCAGGCUGGAGUGCAGUGGCAUGAUCUUGGCUCACUUCAACCUCUGCCUUCCGGUUUCAAGUGAUUCUACUGCCUCAGCCUCCCAAGUAGCUGGGAUUACAGGCACCCGCCACCAUGCCUAGCUAAUUUUUUUGUAUUUUCAAUAGUGACAGAGUUUCACUAUAUUGGCCAGGCUGGUGUUGAACUCCUGACCUCAUGAUCUACCCACUCAGCCUCCCAAAGUGCUGGGAUUACAGGCGUGAGCCAUCGCGCCCAGCCCACAAGUUUUAAUGACUUUUUUUCAUAGAUGCUGAAACUGAAAAAGGGUGUGGUUAAAUAAUUUGCCUAAGCCAGUCUCUGGCAGAGAUGGGAUUCAUAUCCAGCUACUGAUGACCAAACGUGGUGAACAGGUAUCCUACGUCCCAAGGAACCCCAUUCCACCUGAGCACCGGAUGGGAGGGAUAUUGCAAUCACCCCCGUGCAUGAUGGACAGGUCUGGGAGCAUUGGACACUCAAUGGAAACUCAUGCCCCCUGUCAGAAAUUGGCAACUGCCACUGCCACUGCCACUGCCACGGCACUUGCAAAGUUUGCACACGGUCCAGAUGUGGCCCGGCUUGUUGCUGUCAUGGUAGCAAUAGUAAUUACUUAGGGGAUUUCUGCAGAUCUUGCUCAUAUUGUGCAUAAUGGGGUAUAAAAUAUGGAAAAUUUGCCUCUAAAAUAAAGUGUUGCUGGCAAACUCAAU
rnacentral:lncRNA from 1 species